ensembl:lncRNA
GGCGUUGUUUCAGAUGUCGCACCACAGCUGUGGCUCGUGCAGUGACGGCCAUGAUGAGUGCAUGUGAUGCCUGGGGAAGUCCCACGCUGAAGCCGCGCUCAUCGACACGACCUGUCCACAUUGCCUGGACAUGAGUCUGGCCUCUCUGUGCUCGCUGAGAACUUUAUUUUCAGGAAGCGACUCCGCCCCUCGCGCCCUCCCGUUUCUCUCCUCCCAGGAGCCUGUGAUGAAGAAACAGCGUGGCAGAGGAUCCCAGUGCUCGGAUAAGAUUCGAGCUCACGUCGGCUCAAGGCUCGCGUAAAUCGGUCUCUCUUCAGAGAGAGUUUUCGCGCGUCUACCUCUCCCACCUAGACCAGCGUCCUUCUGUUUGCGAACGACCUGGUCUCAUUUGGUGGGUCCGAAGAUGAGCCACUAGAUAACAGCAUGUCAUUAGCGGCCUCAGAUGCUGAGGAUUGGUCGGACUCGACUCAGGACCUCGUCCCCUUGCAGUCUACCCAGCCGGUCGACGCCAGGACUUCUGUGGACACCGAGCUGAUCCGUGUCCGAGCUGAUCUCGGGCUGGAGUGGUCUGCGCAUGAGGAGCCCUCACGCAGCCGACUAGAAGAGUGGUUCCUGCCGGGAUGCCGCCAGGCCCUCUUCCCAGAGGGCUGCACCCUUCUUCCCUGAGGUCCACGAGGAGCUCACGAAGUCGUGGCACGCCCCUUACUCUGCCCGCCUCAAAACAUCUGCCUCUCACGCCCUCACUGUGGUUGACGGCAUGGGGCAGAAGGGCUAUGAGAAGAUCCCUCGCCAUGGUGUGCUUCGCCACUGCACACCAUGGCGGUGCUUCAAGUGUACCAGGCCAAGCUCCUCCGCACCAUGGACGAAGUGGGGCACAACCUGGCCACAUUUAAGGAGUUGCGCAGUGCUACGGACCUGGCCCUGUGUGCUACUAAGGCCACUGCUCAGGCAUGACAGGCCAUUCCCGGAGUGUCAGAACAGGUAUUGAAAACAAUAAAAUGAGGUUACGUACUGCAAUUUGCUCAGAGGCCCCCGUUAUUCAAUGGCAUGGUACUUUCCUCUGUGACAGGUAAGGAUGUGCAUGUCCUUUUCUCAGAUGUAAAAUCUAUGCUGGCGAAAAGGGCCACUCAGGAUCAAUUUUUCCAAGAGCUCGUUGCUCCCCAGCCAUUGUAUCAUGUUCCUUAUUAUGUAUUACCGCUAUUACAUUUUGAAUAUGGAUAUUUCUCUUACAAAAAUG